GACGAACGCUGGCGGCGUGCUUAACACAUGCAAGUCGAACGGAAAGGCCCUGCUUUUGUGGGUUGCUCGAUGGGCGAACGGGUGAGUAACACGGGGGUAACCUGCCCUGGACUUGGGGAUAACUUCAGGAAACUGGGGCUAAUACCGGAUAGGAGCUCCUGCGGCAUGGUGGGGGUUGGAAAGUUUCGGCGGUGGGGGAUGGACUCGCGGCUUAUCAGCUUGUUGGUGGGGUAGUGGCUUACCAAGGCUUUGACGGGUAGCCGGCCUGAGAGGGUGACCGGCCACAUUGGGACUGAGAUACGGCCCAGACUCCUACGGGAGGCAGCAGUGGGGAAUAUUGCACAAUGGGCGGAAGCCUGAUGCAGCAACGCCGCGUGCGGGAUGACGGCCUUCGGGUUGUAAACCGCUUUCGCCUGUGACGAAGCGUGAGUGACGGUAAUGGGUAAAGAAGCACCGGCUAACUACGUG
rnacentral:rRNA from 1 species